ensembl:snRNA U6 U6 spliceosomal RNA
GUGCUCGCUUUGGCAGCACAUAUACUAAAACUGGAACAAUACAAAGAUUAGCAUGGCCCCUGCACAAGGAUGACACACAAAUUUGUGAAAUGUUCCAUAUUAAA